GCCAUCCACAUAUCCAACAUAAAAGAGGCCCUGGUGCUAUCACUGGUGCAGAUAUUCCCGGCCCUGAAUGAUGGAUCAGACAGUGGCUAUGAAAUAUGGUACACAAAAGCCAGGAAGGUAAUGAAGGAUGGAGGAGUGAUCCACUACCCAGCCACAAGCUUCCUCGAAGAAAGACUAUGGAACGUUAGAAAGAGGUCAAACCGUGGGUCCACCCAACAAAUGCCUGAAGCCACCCAGUCACCAAGGGCAUACAUACCAGAAUCAACCGUUCCAGAAGAAAGGGCCCUCCAACAGAAGGAAUGGCUGAAACACAAUUCAGAGCCUUUCACCCAAGUGCAGUCCUACAUGAAGGACACAGUGUUAUGCAGACCCAGCUGGAUCCGGGCUAAUGGCUGCACCUAA
ensembl:lncRNA